rnacentral:rRNA from 1 species
GAGUUUGAUCGUGGCUCAGGAUGAACGCUGGCGGCGUGCUUAACACAUGCAAGUCGAACGAAGCGCCUUAUUUGAUUUCUUCGGAACUGAAGAUUUGGUGACUGAGUGGCGGACGGGUGAGUAACGCGUGGGUAACCUGCCCUGUACAGGGGGAUAACAAUCAGAAAUGACUGCUAAUACCGCAUAAGACCACAGCACCGCAUGGUGCAGGGGUAAAACUCCGGUGGUACAGGAUGGACCCCGCGUCUGAUUAGCUGGUUGGUGAGGUAACGGCUCACCAAGGCGACGAUCAGUAGCCGGCUUGAGAGAGUGAACGGCCACAUUGGGACUGAGACACGGCCCAAACUCCUACGGGAGGCAGCAGUGGGGAAUAUUGCACAAUGGGGGGAACCCUGAUGCAGCGACGCCGCGUGAGUGAAGAAGUAUUUCGGUAUGUAAAGCUCUAUCAGCAGGGAAGAUAAUGACGGUACCUGACUAAGAAGCACCGGCUAAAAUACGU